GGGAUUUGGAUGUACAGACAUAUAUGGAGUCUCAUAUUUUUCUUUCUUUGCCAGGAGAACUCGCCGUCCUGCAAAACUGGACCCUGAAGCUGGAAGACUUAAACAACCACCAGAAGGAGAUCAUUGCGAGUCUCCUCAACCAGCCGAAGGCCUUUUCCGGAACUCUCCGCAAUGGACCACCGUUCCUGGUGCUCGUGGUGGUCAUGGCCUUGCACCUUUGAGAAGAUCGAAGCCUUGGAGCAAGGAAGACGUCAACUUUUCCCAAGCCUCAAAGCGGUGAAAGAAAACCUCUUUCUGUCCCAUCCGUAUCCCAAAUGCUGACAUAAUAAUGCCUAACCUAGAACCUUCUAAUCUAGAACAUCCCAACCUAGAACCUCGCAACCUAGAACAUCCUGACUUAGAUCAUUGUGACCUAGAACAAGAAAGAUUCUGAAAUGAAGAUAUGGAGAAAGGGCUAGUUAGCUUAGAACCAUUCAACCUAGAGCCUUCUGCUCUAGAACAUCCCACCUUAAAAACACAAUGACCUAGAACAUCCUAACUUAGAUCAUUAUGAUCUAGAACAAUGAGGAUUCUAAAGAGAUGGAGAUAGUGCUUGCUAGCUUACAACCAUCUAACCUAGAGCCUUCUGCUCUAGAACAUCCCAACCUGUAAUCCCAUGACCUAGCACAUCUUGACCUAGAACCUCGCAACCUAGAACAUCCUACCUUAGAUCAUUAUGACCUGAAACAAAGAGGAUUCUGAAAAGAAGAGAUAGAGAAAGGGCUCAUUAGCUUAGAAACAUCUACCCUAGAGCCUUCUAGUCUAGAACAUCCAGACCUAGAACAUCGUAACUUAGAUCAUUAUGACCUAGAACAAAAACGAUUCUGAAAAGAAGAGAUGGAGAAAGGGCUAGUUAGCUUAGAACCAUUCAACCUAGAUCCUUCUGCUCUAGAACAUCCCACCCUAAAACCCAAUGACCUAGAACAUUCUGACUUAUAUCAUUAUGACCUAGAACAAAGAUGAUUUUAAAGAGAUGGAGAAAGUGCUGAUUAGCUUACAACCAUCUAACCUAGAGCCCUCUGCUCUAGAACAUCCCACCCUAAACCCCCGAUGACCUAGACCAUCCUAACUUAGAUCAUCAUGACCUAGAACAAAGAUGAUUCUAAAGAGAUGGAGAAAGUGCUAGUUAGCUUACAACCAUCUAACCUGGAGCCUUCUGCUCUAGAACAUCCCGACCUAUAAUCUCACGUCCUAGAACAUCUCGAAUGAGAACCUCACGACCUAGAAUAUCCUAACUUAGAUCAUUGUGACCAAAGAACAGUUAGCUUAGAACCAUCUAACCCAGAGCCUUCUAGUCUAGAACAUCCAGACCUAGAACAUCGUAACUUAGAUCAUUAUGACCUAGAACAAGAAAGAUUCUGAAAUGAAGAUAUGGAGAAAGGGCUAGUUAGCUUAGAACCAUUCAACCUAGAGCCUUCUGCUCUAGAACAUCCCACCUUAAAAACACAAUGACCUAGAACAUCCUAACUUAGAUCAUUAUGAUCUAGAACAAUGAGGAUUCUAAAGAGAUGGAGAUAGUGCUUGCUAGCUUACAACCAUCUAACCUAGAGCCUUCUGCUCUAGAACAUCCCAACCUGUAAUCCCAUGACCUAGCACAUCUUGACCUAGAACCUCGCAACCUAGAACAUCCUACCUUAGAUCAUUAUGACCUGAA
rnacentral:lncRNA from 11 species